CCUACGGGACGCAGCAGUGGGGAAUAUUGCUCAAUGGGCGCAAGCCUGGUGCAGCCAUGCCGCGUGUGUGAAGAAGGCCUUCGGGUUGUAAAGCACUUUCAGCGGGGAGGAAGGCGGUGAGGUUAAUAACCUCAUCGAUUGACGUUACCUGCAGAAGAAGCACCGGCUAACUCCGUGCCAGCAGCCGCGGUAAUACGGAGGGUGCAAGCGUUAAUCGGAAUUACUGGGCGUAAAGCGCACGCAGGCGGUCUGUCAAGUCGGAUGUGAAAUCCCCGGGCUCAACCUGGGAACUGCAUUCGAAACUGGCAGGCUAGAGUCUUGUAGAGGGGGGUAGAAUUCCAGGUGUAGCGGUGAAAUGCGCAGAGAUCUGGAGGAAUACCGGUGGCGAAGGCGGCCCCCUGGACAAAGACUGACGCUCAGGUGCGAAAGCGUGGGGAGCAAACAGGAUUAGAUACCCCCGUAGUC
rnacentral:rRNA from 1 species